rnacentral:snRNA from 13 species
AAAACUUUUCCAAAAGAAAAAGUCUGUUCUUAUCAGUUUAAUAUCUGAUACGUCCCCUAAUUGGGGACCAUAUAUUAAAUUGUUUUUUGGAAUAGGGAGAUGGAAUAGGGGCUUGCGCCGUCCACUCCACGCAUCGACCUGGUAUUGCAGUAUCUCCAGGAAAGGUGCACCCUCU